CGAGUUUGAUCAUGGCUCAGGAUGAACGCUAGCGGCAGGGCUUAACACAUGCAAGUCGAGGGGUAGAGGAAGCUUGCUUCCUUGAGACCGGCGCACGGGUGCGUAACGCGUAUACAAUCUACCUUUACAGAGGGAUAGCCCAGAGAAAUUUGGAUUAAUACCUCAUAGUAUUUUCGGAUCGCAUGAUUUGAUUAUUAAAGUUCCAACGGUAAAAGAUGAGUAUGCGUCCCAUUAGCUAGAUGGUAAGGUAACGGCUUACCAUGGCUACGAUGGGUAGGGGUCCUGAGAGGGAGAUCCCCCACACUGGUACUGAGACACGGACCAGACUCCUACGGGAGGCAGCAGUGGGGAAUUUUGGACAAUGGGGCGCAAGCCUGAUCCAGCAAUGCCGCGUGCAGGAUGAAGGCCUUCGGGUUGUAAACUGCUUUUGUACGGAACGAAACGGUGAGCUCUAAUACAGUUUGCUAAUGACGGUACCGUAAGAAUAAGCACCGGCUAACUACGUG
rnacentral:rRNA from 1 species